rnacentral:rRNA from 1 species
UACAGAGGUCUCAAGCGUUGUUCGGAAUUACUGGGCGUAAAGCGCGCGUAGGCGGCUUUGUAAGUUAGAGGUGAAAGCCCGGAGCUCAACUCCGGAACUGCCUUUAAAACUGCAUCGCUUGAAUCCAGGAGAGGUGAGUGGAAUUCCGAGUGUAGAGGUGAAAUUCGUAGAUAUUCGGAAGAACACCAGUGGCGAAGGCGGCUCACUGGACUGGUAUUGACGCUGAGGUGGCGAAAGCGUGGGGAGCAAACAGG